GACGUAGGGCGCGAGCGUUGUCCGGAUUUAUUGGGCGUAAAGAGCUCGUAGGCGGCUUGUCGCGUCGUCCGUGAAAACUUGGGGCUCAACCCCAAGCUUGCGGUCGAUACGGGCAGGCUAGAGUUCGGUAGGGGAGACUGGAAUUCCUGGUGUAGCGGUGAAAUGCGCAGAUAUCAGGAGGAACACCAAUGGCGAAGGCAGCUCGCUGGGACGGUACUGACGCUGAGACGCGAAAUCGUGGGGAGCAAACAGG
rnacentral:rRNA from 1 species